CAGUCGCCGCGGUAAUACGAAGGGUGCAAGCGUUACUCGGAAUUACUGGGCGCAAAGCGUGCGUAGGUGGUGGUUUAAGUCCGUUGUGAAAGCCCUGGGCUCAACCUGGGAAUUGCAGUGGAUACUGGGUCACUAGAGUGUGGUAGAGGAUAGUGGAAUUUCCGGUGUAGCAGUGAAAUGCGUAGAGAUCGGAAGGAACAUCUGUGGCGAAGGCGACUAUCUGGGCCAACACUGACGCUGAGGCACGAAAGCGUGGGGAGCAAACAGGAUUAGAUACCCCCGUAGUCCCUGUCUCUUAUAC
rnacentral:rRNA from 1 species